rnacentral:rRNA from 1 species
CGCGUAGGCGGCCCUGCAAGUCCGACGUGAAAUCCCUCGGCUCAACCGGGGACCCGCGUCGGAAACUGCAGGGCUUGAGUGCAGGAGAGGAGAGCGGAAUUCCCAGUGUAGCGGUGAAAUGCGUAGAUAUUGGGAGGAACACCGGUGGCGAAGGCGGCUCUCUGGACUGCUACUGACGCUGAGGCGCGAAAGCUAGGGGAGCAAACGGGAUUAGAUACCCCGGUAGUCCUAGCCGUAAACGUUGGGCACUAGGUGUGGGAGGUAUCGACCCCUUCCGUGCCGCAGCUAACGCAUUAAGUGCCCCGCCUGGGGAGUACGGCCGCAAGGUUGAA